rnacentral:lncRNA from 1 species
ACAGCCAUAACAAUAUUUUAUCACUUUAUUUGUUAUGAAUAAUUUCGCUGAUGAAAAAUAAUAAUAAAUAAUAAUAAUUUCGUUGAUGUUAAAGAUCAGUAUGUAAAAAGAAGAAGAAGAAGAAAAAAAAAAGAUGGGUAUGUUUGACAGAAAAAAAAAGAUGGGUAUGUAUUUUAAUAUUUUUAGUAACAAUUAAUUGAUGUAAGGGCAUGUCACCGAAAAAACCUUCCAGAAUUAUAUAUUCCCAAGAUCAGCUAUAAUGUACUUUACUAUAAUUAAGCCAACUGAUUAUAUGUAUAAAUUCCAUAAGUGAAUAUUCUUCGAUAAAUUAAUAAACACGAUAAAUUAAUAAUUUUUAGCAACUCUGAGCCGGUCAAGAAUUAUAUACAAUUCAAUAAGAUAAUAAUUUUUUGAAAAAUAUCAUGUAAAUAUAAAAUCUCAAUAUAAAAAUAAAUUCAUUUACAUUUACAGCAUGAACA